UGGGUAACCUGCCUCAAAGAGGGGAAUAGCCUCCCCGAAAAGGGGAGAUUAAUACCGCAUAAUAUGUUUUAAUCGCAUGAUUUUAACAUCAAAGGAUUUUCUUCGGAACUUCCACUUUGAGAUGGACCCGCGGCGCAUUAGCUAGUUGGUGAGGUAACGGCUCACCAAGGCAACGAUGCGUAGCCGACCUGAGAGGGUGAUCCGGCCACAUUGGAACUGAGACACGGUCCAGACUCCGUAGGGAGG
rnacentral:rRNA from 1 species